rnacentral:lncRNA from 1 species
AGUUCGGAUUACUUCUUUAAGUCUCUGUUCUCUUUUUUCGCGCAAAAAUGCCGGAUCCAGCGAAAUCCGCUCCUGCUCCCAAGAAGGGCUCCAAAAAGGCUGUUACGAAAGUGCAGAAGAAGGACGGCGAGAAGCGCAAGCGCAGCCGCAAGGAGAGCUACUCCGUUUACGUGUAGGAGGUGCUGAAGCAGGUCCACCCCGACACCGGCAUCUCGUCCAAGACCAUGGGCAUCAUGAACUCCUUCGUCAACGACAUCUUCGAGCGCAUCGCGGGAGAGGCGUCCCGCCUGGCGCACUACAACAAGCGCUCCACCAUCACGUCCCGCGAGAUCCAGACGGCCGUGCGCCUGCUGCUGCCCGGCGAGCUGGCCAAGCACGCCGUGUCCGAGGGCACCAAGGCGGUCACCAAGUACACCAGCUCGAAAUCUCAGAAGUUGGUUGAAACAAAAACAGUUCAUACAGCAUGGUAGGCAGAAUUCUAAAAUGAUCCCAAUGACUCACUCCCUUGCAUAAUCCCCUUGAGUGUGGGUGGAACCUAUGACUUGCUUCUAGCCAACAGAAUAUGACAAGGGUGAUGAAAUGUCACUCUUGGGAUUGCUACAUUAUGUAAGACUCUAUCUUAGCAGUCUGGAUGGAAAGUCUCCUCCUGAACUUGAAGAGGUAAGCUGCCACGCCAGGAGAGGGCCUACAAGAGUGCCACAAGGCAAGGGCCUCUAGGAGCUGAGAGUGGCCCCCCACUGAUGGGCAGCAAGAAAGCAGGAACCUCAGUCCUACAACCACAAAGAACUGAAUUCUGCCAGUGACCUUGUGAGCCUGGAAGAGCUGCAAAAAGAAACACAGCAAAGUCAACACCCUAACUGCAGCCUUGGAAGACUCUCAGCAGAGCACUCAGCUAAGCUGUGAUGGGAGUCCUGACCCAUGGAAACUGGAAGAUCUUAAAUGUAUGUUGUUGCUAAAUUUGUUACACAGCAAUAGAAAACAAAUACACUCCAACUCUUGACAAAUUUGUUAAUAGGACCACGCAUCCUGAGACAAACACACAGAAGGGCAAACAUCCAGAUAUAAACAUCCUACUACAUUGAUAUGAAUACUCACAUAUGUAAGAUCAAUGAUAUCACUAGC